AGAAAAGUGUUAUAUAUCCUAUUCGCAUUUUAUAAUUGUGUUUACAUAUGAAGGCAACAUUAAUACGGGAAAUGCUGGUCUCAUCUUCUUGGGAACACCUUUCCCUUUUUUUCCUGCCUCUUUUAUAACAUAUAUAUAUAUAUACACAUAAUCCCAGGAAAAAAAAAAACAAAAGUUAUGAAGAGGAUGAAGAAUAAAUAUGAUGUUAUGGCUUGCUUACAAAUUGAUUACAGUAAUUUCAACCAUCUUUCUGGAAAAUUUCUAUCUUCUCAAGUUUCUCUUUGCGCGGUUGACUGAAGCACUUCCGGCGUCGACGUCGGCCGGCCGCCGAUAUAAAAAUCGUUUCGAGAAAAAAAAAAUGGAGCGGCGUACAUGGGAAAGCCAGGCAUUUCUUCUCUGUUAUGUUCUUCAUCUUCUGUUUGUUCAUGCUGUUACUUUUUCUGGUGAUUUUUUUUCAUUAAUUUUUCCUUUUGGUUUAUGAAAUUUACAGCAAUGAAAUAGUAUAUAAUUUUGGUCCUAA